GCCAGGCGUAGUAGUGCACGCCUGUAGUCCCAGCUACUCGGGAGGCUGAGGCAGGAGAAUUGCUUGAGCCCAGGAGGUCAAGGCUGCAGUGAGCCGUGAUUGUGCCACUGCGCUUUAGCCUGGGCGAGAGAGUGAGACCCUGUCUCAA
ensembl:misc_RNA Metazoa_SRP Metazoan signal recognition particle RNA